rnacentral:rRNA from 1 species
AUUGAACGCUGGCGGCAUGCCUUACACAUGCAAGUCGAACGGCAGCACGGGAGCUUGCUCCUGGUGGCGAGUGGCGAACGGGUGAGUAGAGCAUCGGAACGUGCCCUGAAGUGGGGGAUAACGUAGCGAAAGUUACGCUAAUACCGCAUAUUCUGUGAGCAGGAAAGCAGGGGACCGCAAGGCCUUGUGCUUUAGGAGCGGCCGAUGUCGGAUUAGCUAGUUGGUGAGGUAAAGGCUCACCAAGGCGACGAUCCGUAGCGGGUCUGAGAGGAUGAUCCGCCACACUGGGACUGAGACACGGCCCAGACUCCUACGGGAGGCAGCAGUGGGGAAUUUUGGACAAUGGGCGAAAGCCUGAUCCAGCAACGCCGCGUGCGCGAUGACGGCCUUCGGGUUGUAAAGCGCUUUUAGAGGAGAUGAGAAAGGACAGUAUCCUCAGAAUAAGCCUCGGCGAACUACGUG